rnacentral:rRNA from 1 species
AGCCUGACGCAGCGACGCCGCGUGGGGGAUGACGGCCUUCGGGUUGUAAACCUCUUUCAGCAGGGACGAAGCGAAAGUGACGGUACCUGCAGAAGAAGCACCGGCCAACUACGUGCCAGCAGCCGCGGUAAUACGUAGGGUGCAAGCGUUGUCCGGAAUUAUUGGGCGUAAAGAGCUCGUAGGCGGUUUGUUGCGUCGGCUGUGAAAACCUGAGGCUCAACCUCAGGCCUGCAGUCGAUACGAGCAGACUAGAGUGUUGCAGGGGAGACUGGAAUUCCUGGUGUAGCGGUGAAAUGCGCAGAUAUCAGGAGGAACACCGGUGGCGAAGGCGGGUCUCUGGGCAACAACUGACGCUGAGGAGCGAAAGCGUGGGGAGCGAACAGGAUUAGAUACCCUGGUAGUCCACGCCGUAAACGUUGGGCGCUAGGUGUGGGGCUCAUUCCACGAGUUCCGUGCCGCAGCUAACGCAUUAAGCGCCCCGCCUGGGGAGUACGGCCGCAA